CGAUCCGAAUUGGUCUGAAGAAGACCCUAGAAUCGGCAGAUCUGAGUCGAUUCCCGAUCCGAUUCGUAGAUUCUUGAAAGUUGAAAUCCUGGGCAGAGAAUCAAGGAGAGGAAGUGUGGAUAAUCAAUCGGCAGUUAAACACAGGAGCGCAUCUUAGGUUUAUAAAUCCUCCUCAGUCCUCACUCUCAAUCGUCUCCGAUUCUUUGUCGAGACUCCACCUUAUAGUAUCGCCUUUCUCCCUCUCUGGAUUUCAAGGGAUCUCUGAAGGUGAUACCUGGUUCUGCUACCAAAACGCAGUUACAAUGUUUUUUGAAGGAUAUGGAUACCAUGGAGCAUCAUUUGAGCAGACAUACCGUUGCUACCCUGCUUCUUUUAUUGAUAAGCCUCAGUUGGAAGGUGGUGAUAAGAUUAUAAUGCCUCCCUCAGCCCUUGACCACCUCGCAUCUCUUCAUAUUGAUUAUCCAAUGUUGUUUGAGCUUCGUAAUGCUGCUGCUGAGCGGGUUUCACAUUGCGGUGUGCUGGAGUUCAUUGCCGAAGAAGGAAUGAUCUACAUGCCGUAUUGGAUGAUGGAAAACAUGCUGUUACAAGAGGGUGACACCGUGCGGGUGAAAAACGUGACUCUUCCAAAAGGAACAUACGUAAAGUUGCAGCCUCACACAAAGGAUUUCUUAGAUAUCUCCAACCCAAAAGCCAUCUUGGAGACUACAUUGAGGAACUACUCCUGCUUGACCACCGGGGACAGUAUCAUGGUAGCCUAUAACAAUAAGAAGUAUUACAUAGAUAUCAUAGAAACAAAGCCUUCUAAUGCAAUAACUAUCAUUGAGACAGAUUGCGAGGUGGAUUUUGCACCUCCUCUUGAUUACAAGGAACCUGAAAGGCAGGCACCAUCAGUGCCUAUAAGCAAGGCACCUGCUCCAGUUGAAGAGGUUGUGCCAGAACCAACAUUUAACCCAUUUUCUGGGGUGGGGAGACGCUUGGAUGGCAAGUCAUUGAAGCACCCUCCAGUUUCAUCUCCUGCAUCCAAAGACAAGCAGCCGGGGGGUGCCAAUGAUAUGCCUUCAGCAGCUUCUACUUCACAAAGUACCCGUCAAUCCCAGGGGAAGCUUGUGUUUGGGGCAACUGUGAACCGUGGUAAAAAAGAAACCCCAAAUCAGCAACCUGCAAAGGACUCGAAGCAAGAGGAGGCCCUAAAGAAAGAAGAGCCCAAGUUUCAAGCAUUCACAGGGAAGAAGUACUCAUUGAAGGGGUGAACUGAUUCUCACUGGUUGACUGUUAGCUCUUCGGGUCAUGAGGUAUCCAACCUCUGUCUAGGGAAGCCAGCAUUGAGGUUGUAUCGAUCUCUGCUACCGUCGGCGAAGCUUUAUCGGCAUUGAAAAAGUCUGAAGAGAGCUAUCUGAGCGUUUGGAGUUGUGAUCACUCAUCUAAUGAGAAACCAUAUUUCGAUGAUUGUCGAUGCGUUGGCAAGGUUUGCAUGGUGGAUGUUAUUUGCUAUCUCUGUGAGGAAGAGAACCUCUCUUGUCCAUCGUCUACGCUUAAAUUUCUGUGCUUCUUCCCAAGACUUUUGGUUUUGUGAGGCAUGCAAAGUCACACUCAAGAGAGCAAAAAACAAAACUGUAAACUGAGGAGGAAGAAGAAGAAGAAAUAGUCCAGUUUGAUCCGUUGGACAGAUCGGUUUGCUUACUUCAAACCAGUUUUGGCGGAGCUUCAAUCAACAAAGCAUCUGAGCUGUCUAUUUCAAAUUAUCCACGUGUUGACCUCUGCCGGAGGUAUUGUACAAAAUUGUAUGAGAUGGGAAUUUCAGAAGAUUUUUAUCCACAUGGUGUCAGCCCUAUUGAUACUCUCUAGUCUUGCCGGGCUUAAAAAAAUUGUCGCCGCCUCUUAUUUUUUGGGUAAGGCAAAUGGUUGGAUUAAUUAUUUUGGGUAAGGCAAAUGAUUGGAGUAAAGUUUUUUUCCUUUUUUGGUAAACAUUGAUUGGAUUAAAGUUAAUGCCCAUUUAUUGAUGCAA